UCUGGAAUAGUUCACUUGAUAAGAGCAUGAGAUUCUUAAUCUUAGGGUUGUGGGUUUGAGCCCCACAUUGGGCAAAA